rnacentral:lncRNA from 1 species
AGAGUUUGUAUCUUUUAAAACGCACAUAAAAUGCCUGGAAGUUGCUUUUCCGCUUGAUUUUCUCGGAAUGAUGUAUUUUCCCCAAUGCAGGUGCUGUCAUCUGUCUGAAUUAGCAUUGUCAGGCUCAAACACCCCCAAAGGAAACGCUUUCUGCAGUGACCCAGGCAACUCUGAGGGGCAGUCUGGAACAGAAUGAGAAAAAGCAGGUAGUGUAUGACCAUGCCUUUUGGUCAAGCAAUCUCAGCUUCCCACUAUAAUGGAUAGGGAACAUACCCUGGAAAUUCUACCUCAC